rnacentral:rRNA from 1 species
CGGAGGGACUAGCGUUGUUCGGAAUUACUGGGCGUAAAGCGCAUGUAGGCGGACCAGCAAGUUAGGGUGAAAUCCCGGGGCUCAACCCGGAACUGCCUUUAAACUGUCGGUCUGGAGUUCGAGAGAGGUGAGUGGAAUUCCGAGUGUAGAGGUGAAAUUCGUAGAUAUUCGGAGGAACACCAGUGGCGAAGGCGGCUCACUGGCUCGAUACUGACGCUGAGAUGCGAAAGCGUGGGGAGCAAACAGGAUU